AAGUCUGACCGAGCGACGCCGCGUGCGGGAUGAAGGCCCUCGGGUUGUAAACCGCUGUCGGUUGGGAGGAAAUCCUAUAGGGCUCUCUCUAUAGGUUGACCGAUCUUCAGAGGAAGGACGUGGCUAAGUUCGUGCCAGCAGCCGCGGUAAGACUAACCGUCCAAACGUUAUUCGGUAUCACUGGGCUUAAAGCGUUCGUAGGCGGCUUGGUACGUGAGAUGUGAAAGCCCACGGCUCAACCGUGGAAUUGCGUUUCAAACCAUCAGUGCUAGAGGAUGGCAGGGGUGAUGGGAACUGAUGGUGGAGCGGUGAAAUGCGUUGAUAUCAUCAGGAACACCGGUGGCGAAGGCGCAUCACUGGGCCAUUUCUGACGCUGAGGAACGAAAGCUAGGGUACCGAACGGGAUUAGAUACCCCGGUAGUCCUAGCCGUAAACGAUGAGCACUGGGUUGAGGGGACUCUCACAUCCUCUCGGCCGUAGCGAAAGCGUUAAGUGCUCCGCCUGGGGAGUAUGGUCGCAAGGCUGAAACUCAAAGGAAUUGACGGGGGCUCACACAAGCGGUGGAGGAUGUGGCUUAAUUCGAGGCUACGCGAAGAACCUUAUCCUAGAUUUGACAUGCUUGAGAACCUCCUAGAAAUAGAAGGGUGCCCUUCGGGGAACUCUUGCACAGGUGCUGCAUGGCCGUCGUCAGCUCGUGUCGUGAGAUGUCGGCUUAAGUCCCUUAACGAGCGAAACCCUUAUCUCUAGUUGCCAGCGGGUAAUGCCGGGGACUCUAGAGAGACUGCCGGUGUCAAACCGGAGGAAGGUGGGGAUGACGUCAAGUCAUCAUGGCCUUUAUGUCUAGGGCUGCACACGUCCUACAAUGGUACGGACAAAGGGAAGCAAGACCGCGAGGUGGAGCUAAUCCCAAAAACCGUGCAUCAGUUCGGAUUGCAGGCUGCAACUCGCCUGCAUGAAGCCGGAAUCGCUAGUAAUCGUGGGUCAGCAUACCACGGUGAAUGUGUUCCUGAGCAUUGUACACACCGCCCGUCAAGCCACGAAAGUUGGGAGGGCCCGAAGUCGCUGA
rnacentral:rRNA from 1 species